rnacentral:rRNA from 1 species
ACAUUAGACUAGGCUUUCAUUAGUGUGUAGAUAACAUUUUAAAUUCGACAAGCGUUUUAAAUUGCGUAUUUAGUGCAAGCAUACUCAUGUUUUUUGUUAAGUAGUAGAAUGCACACUAUUAAAUCUAUUAUAUUUAAUCAAUCAAACUAUAUAGGCUUUUCAUUUUUAUCUACAGCGGUCGCACGCGGUGGCGCCUUCUUCCGGAAAAAAAGUUUUUUCCUGGAAACAGUCAACUCAGAACUGGCACUGACCAGAGGAAUUCUCCUGUCAAAUUAAAAGAUAGCAUUGCGAUGGCCGCUGGUCGGUGUUGACGCAAUGUGAUAUCUGCCCAGUGCUCUGAAUGUCAACGUGAAGAAAUUCAUCGAAGCGCGGGUAAACGGCGGGAGUAACUAUGACUCUCUUGUGAGCGGGCUCAGCGCACGCAGGGAUCAGAGUGUAGCCU